GACGAACGCUGGCGGCGUGCUUAACACAUGCAAGUCGAACGGAGUGGCGAACGGGUGAGUAACACGUGGGUGACCUGCCCUGCACUUCGGGAUAAGCCUGGGAAACUGGGUCUAAUACCGGAUAGUGUGGGAUGGGCGCGCGGCCUAUCGGCUUGUUGGGGGGGUAAUGGCGUACCAAGGCGGCGACGAGUAGCCGGCCUGAGAGGGUGGACGGCCACAUUGGGACUGGGACACGGCCCAGACUCCUACGAUGGGCAACAGUGGGGAGUAUUGCACAAGGGGCGGAAGUCUGAUGCAGCGGCGCCGGGUGGGGGAUGACGGCCUUCGGGUUGUAAACUCCUUUCACCAUCGACGCGGUAGAUGGAGAAGAAGCACCGGCUAACUACGUGCCAGCAGCCGCGGUAAUAC
rnacentral:rRNA from 1 species